CUCUAACUGCUUCAUAAUUAGUAUUUCCUGCUCAAUGAUCUUUAAAUAGCCGCAACUAACGUGCUAAGGUAGCAUAAUCACUUGCCUCUUAAUUAAAGGCUAGAAUGAAAGGAUUAACGAGUUGAAUUCUUUAUUAUAUCGAUUUCUUAAAAUUUUCAUUUGAGUAAAAAGACUCAAAUUCUAAGAGAAGACGACAAGACCCUAUCGAACUUUAAAAAUUAUAUUUUUAACUGGGGCGGUAAAAAACCAAAUCUUUUUUUACUUUCUAAAACCUAACCCUAAAAAGGAUUUAAAACAAGUUACCGUAGGGAUAACAGCAUAAUUUCUUUCCAGAGACCUUAUCAAAAAAGAAGAUUGUGACCUCGAUGUUGAAUAAUAACCCCUCAGAGAGCAAACUCUCUAAAAGGAAGUCUGUUCGACUUUUUAUUUAUUACA
rnacentral:rRNA from 1 species